rnacentral:rRNA from 1 species
UAGUCCACGCCGUAAACGAUGAGUGCUAGACGUUGGGAAUUUAUUUUUCAGUGUCGUAGUUAACGCAUUAAGCACUCCGCCUGGGGAGUACGGUCGCAAGAUUAAAACUCAAAGGAAUUGACGGGGCCCGCACAAGCGGUGGAGCAUGUGGUUUAAUUCGACGCAACGCGAAGAACCUUACCAGCUUUUGACAUUGCUAAGUCGCGAGUUUUAGAGAUAAAACUCUUCAGUUCGGCUGGACUUAGUACAGGUGCUGCAUGGCUGUCGUCAGCUCGUGUCGUGAGAUGUUGGGUUAAGUCCCGCAACGAGCGCAACCCUUGUCCUUAGUUGCCAGCAAUUCGGUUGGGCACUCUAGGGAGACUGCCGGUGAUAAACCGGGAGGAAGGCGGGGAUGGACGUCAAGUCCUCAUGGGCCCUUACGGGGCUGGGGCUACACACGUGCUACAAUGGCGUCUACAAU